AAACAAGAGGAGAGGGCGACAAGACUUUCCAAACAUCUUAUUUUUACAAUCAUCACCUCCUAAGCUGAUGCAACUGACUCAGCAGGCAUUCAGGAACCUGCCUUCUCCAUUUUUCUGUCCGAAAAUCCUCUGCACCUCAUCAUGAGUCAUUACCUCGACCCUAAUCAACUUGGGAUUCUCUUCAAAAUGCCCGGAAAAGAAAAGAAAGACAGUGAUCACACUGACAUGACUGACUAGCUGCCCAAGCCCAAGGUACCGGGCAUACACCUCUGCUAUAACCUCAGCCUCAGACAUACGUUUUAGUGCUACCAUUCUGUGGCUCUGUGGAAGAAGUGCUUUCUGAUAAAGUUUGCAAGUCAACUCCAAGGUGAAGUGAAGGGCUCCGGGAUCAGAGAGUGACUUCCCACCUAAUGAGAUGGAAACAAAUAAUUCAACCCAAAGAGGCAUCUCCCUUCACCUACACCUUCAAACUCGCUGAACACCUGGAGAAUCAGGAGGUAUGUUUUCUGGACUGCGAUGCCAGCAGGUUCACCAGCCUGACAGCACUGUAAUUCAGAGCCUUGCUGCCAAGCCAAAACCCUCCCAGCAAGAAGGUUGGUUUUACAUGGUCCUAGGAUCUAAUA
rnacentral:lncRNA from 1 species